UGUGCUUAUUGACGGUCUUGUGCUGGUUAGAUGAAUUCAACAUCAGUAGAUAACUUUAUCAUAAGCUAAAUGUAGUGCCGCUUUGUCUUUUUCAAGUUUUCUCUGUGGAGUAAGCUUUAAUCUUGGUGGCAGAAAUAG